rnacentral:lncRNA from 1 species
UAUGUAACAAAUAUAUUAUCUGUUGAUUAUUGUCCUAUUGAACUUUUCUGUAUAUUAUUGUCUAUCAUUUUGUUUGACUAUAUUUUAAUUCACAUGGAAAAAGCUUGAUGCAUCAUUUAUGUAAUUGCUUAUAAAAUAUAACUAGAUAAGUAAACAUAAAAACAAAAUUAGCCGGAUACUAACGGUCGACAGUUAGGUGGAUGACUCAUGUACACCUCGCCAUGUGAGUCCUCAUCUUUGUAUCUUCCUUAAUUUCUGGAUAUUCAAUGAACAUUUUGUAAUAAUAAAUUAAAAUUCAGUUUUAACUCAAUAUAAAUGAAUAGAAACUA